GUUUUGGCUACUGCGAGAGAACAUUACUGAGUUUACGCUGUGCGCCCUUUGUGAACGUACCUACAACUGUUGCUUCGGCGGGUAGGGUCUCCGCGACCCUCCCGGCCUCCCGCCUCCGGGCGGGUCGGCGCCCGCCGGAGGAUAACCAAACUCUGAUUUAACGACGUUUCUUCUGAGUGGUACAAGCAAAUAAUCAAAACUUUUAACAACGGAUCUCUUGGUUCUGGCAUCGAUGAAGAACGCAGCGAAAUGCGAUAAGUAAUGUGAAUUGCAGAAUUCAGUGAAUCAUCGAAUCUUUGAACGCACAUUGCGCCCGCCAGCAUUCUGGCGGGCAUGCCUGUUCGAGCGUCAUUUCAACCCUCAAGCUCUGCUUGGUGUUGGGGCCCUACAGCCGAUGUAGGCCCUCAAAGGUAGUGGCGGACCCCCCCGGAGCCUCCUUUGCGUAGUAACUUUACGUCUCGCACUGGGAUCCGGAGGGACUCUUGCCGUAAAACCCCCCAAUUUUCCAAAGGUUGACCUCGGAUCAGGUAGGAAUACCCGCUGAACUUAAGCAUAUCAUAAGCCAGAGGAA
rnacentral:rRNA from 1 species